CCUACGGGAGGCAGCAGUGGGGAAUAUUGCACAAUGGGGGAAACCCUGAUGCAGCAACGCCGCGUGAGUGAAGAAGUCUCUCGGUAUGUAAAGCUCUAUCAGCAGGGAAGAAAAUGACAGUACCUGACUAAGAUGCACCGGCUAACUACGUGCCAGCAGCCGCGGUAAUACGUAGGCGGCAAGCGUUAUCCGGAUGUACUGGGUGUAAAGGGAGCGUAGACGGCUGGGCAAGUCAGAGGUGAAAGUCCGGGGCUCAACCGCGGGACUGCUUUUGAAACUGUGUAGCUAGAGUGCAGGAGAGGUAGGUGGAAUGCCUGGUGUAGCGGUGAAAUGCGUAGAGAUUAGGAGGAACACCGGUGGCGAAGGCAGCUUACUGAACUGUAACUGACGUUGAGGCUCGAAAGCGUGGGGAGCAAACAGGAUUAGAUACCCUUGUAGUC
rnacentral:rRNA from 1 species